GAUUUUCGCAAUGCCCGAAAGGGUGACAAUGCGACGCCGCGUGCGCGAUGAAGGCCUUCGGGUUGUAAACCGCUGUCGGGAGUUAGGAAAUGCAAGGAUGUUAAUAGCAUCUUUGCUUGACUAAGGCUCCGGAGGAAGCCACGGCUAACUCUGUGCCAGCAGCCGCGGUAAUACAGAGGCGGCAAGCGUCGUUCGGAAUUAUUGGGCGUAAAGAGCACGUAGGCGGCCGUGUAAGUCGGUUGUGAAAGCCUUCCGCUCAACGGGAGAACGGCAUCCGAUACUGCAUGGCUCGAGUGCGGGAGGGGAGAGUGGAACUUCUGGUGGAGCGGUGAAAUGCGUAGAUAUCAGAAGGAACACCGGCGGCGAAGGCGACUCUCUGGCCCGUAACUGACGCUGAGUGUGCGAAAGCUAGGGGAGCAAACGGGAUUAGAUACCCCGGUAGUCCCAGCCGUAAACGAUGGGCACUAAGUAGAGGGGUUUUAAUC
rnacentral:rRNA from 1 species